rnacentral:rRNA from 1 species
UAAUUAAUUAAAGGUUUUUAAUUUUUUAAAAAUAUUUAUAAAAUAAAAAUUUUUAGUAUUUUUUAUAGAAAUAAUAUUGUUAAUAAUAGUUUAUUAGUAAUGUGAAUGAAUUUUGAAAUAUUAUGAAAAUAUUUUAUUAAAAAAGAAAAUUUAAUUUAUUGUACCUUGUGUGUCAGGGUUUAUUAAAUAUAAGACAUGAUUUAUGUUUUUCUCGAUUUUAAAAGAGUUAAUAAAUUAAUAAAGUUAUUGUUAUAAAUUUAUUUUUAAUUAUUUAUUUGAAAUGAAAUGUUAUUCGUUUUUAAAGGUUUCUAGUUUUUUAAGAAAUAAAUUUAAUUUAUUAAUUAUUUAUGUGUUUAAUUAUUUUUUAAAUUAAUCAUUAAAUAAUUAAAGUAUUUUAUGGGAUUAGCUAUAAAAUAAAUAUUUAAAAAUAAUUAAUUAAUUAUUAAAAUGUAUGUAUUAAAUUUAUAAUCAUUAGUAAGUUUGUGAUAAAUUAUUAUAAAUUUUUAAUUAUUUAAUUAAUUUUAAUUAAUUUAUUAAAAUAUAAAUAUUAAUAAUAAAUAUUUUGAAAUAAUGAUAAAAUUAGUAUAUUUUAAUGUUUAUUAUAUUUUAUGUGAAAGGUUUAUAUAAAGAAUUCGGCAAAUUAUUUUUUCGCCUGUUUAACAAAAACAUGGCCUUUUGAUUUUUUUAUAAUAGGUCUGACCUGCCCACUGAUAAUUUAAAUGGCCGCAGUAUAUUAACUGUGCAAAGGUAGCAUAAUCAAUAGUUUUUUAAUUGGAGGCUAGAAUGAAUGGUUGGAUGAAAUAAAUACUGUUUCAUAUAAAGUUAUUUAUAAAAUUUUAUUUUUUAGUUAAAAAGCUAAAAUAAAAUUAAAAGACGAGAAGACCCUAUAAAUCUUUAUAUUUUUUUAUAUAAAAUUAAAUUAGAUUAAAUUUUUAUUUUAUUAAAUAAAAUAUUUUAUUGGGGGGAUAUUAAAAUUAAAAAAACUUUUAAUAAAAAUUUACAUUAAUAUUUGAGUUAUUGAUCCAAUUAUAUUGAUUAAAAAAUUAAGUUACUUUAGGGAUAACAGCGUAAUUUUUUUGGGGAGUUCAUAUCUAUAAAAAAGAUUGCGACCUCGAUGUUGGAUUAAGAUAUAAUUUUGGGUGUAGCCGUUCAAAUUUUAAGUCUGUUCGACUUUUUAAUUCUUACAUGAUCUGAGUUCAAACCGGUGUAAGCCAGGUUGGUUUCUAUCUUUAAUAUAUUAAAAUAUUUUAGUACGAAAGGAUUAAAUAUUUGAUUAAUUAAUAAUUUAUUUUAAGUAUAAAAUUAA